rnacentral:rRNA from 1 species
AUUGAACGCUGGCGGCAUGCCUUACACAUGCAAGUCGAACGGUAACAGGGAGCUUGCUCCGCUGACGAGUGGCGAACGGGUGAGUAAUGCGUCGGAACGUGCCGAGUAGUGGGGGAUAACGCAUCGAAAGGUGUGCUAAUACCGCAUACGUACUGAGGUAGAAAGUGGGGGACCUUCGGGCCUCACGCUAUUCGAGCGGCCGACGUCUGAUUAGCUAGUAGGUGAGGUAAAGGCUCACCUAGGCGACGAUCAGUAGCGGGUCUGAGAGGAUGAUCCUCCACACUGGGACUGAGACACGGCCCAGACUCCUACGGGAGGCAGCAGUGGGGAAGUUUGGACAAUGGGCGUAAGCCUGAUCCAGCCAUGCCGCGUGUCUGAAGAAGGCCUUCGGGUUGUAAAGGACUUUUGUCGGGGAGGAAAUCCCCAGCGCUAAUACCGCUGGGGGAUGACAGUACCUGAAGAAUAAGCACCGGCUAACUACGUGCCAGCCGCCGCGGUAACAC